AACGCGAAGAACCUUACCUGGGUUUGACAUGGCCGCAAAACCGGCAGAGAUGUCGGGUCCUUCGGGGGCGGUCACAGGUGGUGCAUGGCUGUCGUCAGCUCGUGUCGUGAGAUGUUGGGUUAAGUCCCGCAACGAGCGCAACCCUCGUUCGAUGUUGCCAGCGCGUUAUGGCGGGGACUCAUCGAAGACUGCCGGGGUCAACUCGGAGGAAGGUGGGGAUGACGUCAAGUCAUCAUGCCCCUUAUGUCCAGGGCUUCACGCAUGCUACAAUGGCCGGUACAAUGGGCUGCGAUACCGUGAGGUGGAGCGAAUCCCAAAAAGCCGGUCUCAGUUCGGAUCGGGGUCUGCAACUCGACCCGUGAAGUCGGAGUCGCUAGUAAUCGCAGAUCAGCAACGCUGCGGUGAAUACGUUCCCGGGCCUUGUACACACCG
rnacentral:rRNA from 1 species